rnacentral:rRNA from 1 species
UACGUAGGGGGCGAGCGUUGUCCGGAAUUACUGGGCGUAAAGGGCGCGUAGGCGGUUUGUCGCGUCGGGAGUGAAAAUCCAGGGCUUAACUCUGGACUGGCUUCCGAUACGGGGCAGACUAGAGGUAUGCAGGGGGAGAACGGAAUUCCUGGUGUAGCGGUGAAAUGCGCAGAUAUCAGGAGGAACACCGGUGGCGAAGGCGGCUAUCUGGCCCGUAAUUGACGCUGAGGCGCGAAAGCGUGGGGAGCAAACAGG